GUUGGAAUCAAAUAGGCUUAUGAGUUUCGGUGAGUAGUGGUUAAAUAGUCAGGGGCCACUCACUCGACGGCGAUUGAACCCGUAAGUAAGGCAGUAGGUGAACUGGGUGGCGGUCGCUGGGGCCGCAAUUUAAUGCAUUGUCAUGUAUCCAGGGCUUGUCCUGAAACCCUCCGGGUCUCUUGAUUAGCUACCUUUAGCUAAUAUAAGGUAAGGUACCCGGUCGUACCGUGUUCUGGUAUGGAUUAAAAAUCAGAUCCAUUGCCAUAUAUUUGCAUACUCAAAUAUGACAAUUUACCUUAAAGAGAAUCAUCGAAUAUCACAUUAAAUUUCUCAAUUAUUUUAAAUUCUUUCUAAAUUUCUACCAAUUAUAUCUCCUCUGUUUUUAACAACAAUCAAU